GGUUAAGUCCCGCAACGAGCGCAACCCUUAAGCUUAGUUGCCAUCAUUAAGUUGGGCACUCUAAGUUGACUGCCGGUGACAAACCGGAGGAAGGUGGGGAUGACGUCAAAUCAUCAUGCCCCUUAUGAUUUGGGCUACACACGUGCUACAAUGGACAAUACAAAGGGCAGCGAAACCGCGAGGUCAAGCAAAUCCCAUAAAGUUGUUCUCAGUUCGGAUUGUAGUCUGCAACUCGACUACAUGAAGCUGGAAUCGCUAGUAAUCGUAGAUCAGCAUGCUACGGUGAAUACGUUCCCGGGUCUUGUACACACCGCCCGUCACACCACGAGAGUUUGUAACACCCGAAGCCGGUGGAGUAACCAUUUG
rnacentral:rRNA from 1 species